GGACUAUGGGUGGCUAGGGAUGUUACAAAUGGUCCCUAUGGAUGCUGACAGAAUGUGAUUUAUACCCAGUGAUCUACAUGUGAAAGUGAAUAAAUUCAACCAAGUGCGGGUAAACGAGGGGAGUAACUAUGACUCUCUUAAGGUAGCCAUAUGCCUCGUCAUCUAAUUAGUUACAUGCAUGAAUGGAUUAACAAGAUUCCC
rnacentral:ncRNA from 1 species